UUUAAGCAAUUCUUCUUGUGGAGCUUGUUUAAAUUUAAUAUAUUUACUAACUUGCAUAUGAAUAGAGAUUUUUCAUAAUCAACUCCAUAACUUUACACGAUCUUACAGGCUGCUUCAACUUGGCUUUUUGUUUAUCCAAGAGGCAUUUAUGAUAUUCUUCUCUACGUGAAGAAAAAAUAUAAUAAUCCGCUUAUUUAUAUCACGAAGAAUGGGAUUGAUGAGGCAAAUAACGCUACAUUAUCACUUGAAGAAGCCCUUGCCGACAACACGAGGAUACAUUACUAUUAUCACCAUCUUUCUUUCCUUCUACAAGCAAUCAAGUAAGUUCUGAAGAUGACUAACAAAUAAUGUUGCAUUUACAAAAUAUAUGAGUGCGAAAGUUACAAUUUUAGAAAUUAUAA